rnacentral:rRNA from 1 species
GACGAACGCUGGCGGCGUGCUUAACACAUGCAAGUCGAACGGAAAGGCCCUGCUUUUGUGGGGUGCUCGAGUGGCGAACGGGUGAGUAACACGUGAGUAACCUGCCCUUGACUUUGGGAUAACUUCAGGAAACUGGGGCUAAUACCGGAUAGGAGCUCCUGCUGCAUGGUGGGGGUUGGAAAGUUUCGGCGGUUGGGGAUGGACUCGCGGCUUAUCAGCUUGUUGGUGGGGUAGUGGCUUACCAAGGCUUUGACGGGUAGCCGGCCUGAGAGGGUGACCGGCCACAGUGGGACUGAGAUACGGCCCAGACUCCUACGGGAGGCAGCAGGGGGGAAUAUUGCACAAUGGGCGGAAGCCUGAUGCAGCAACGCCGCGUGCGGGAUGACGGCCUUCGUGUUGUAAACCGCUUUCGCCUGUGACGAAGCGUGAGUGACGGUAAUGGGUAAAGAAGCACCGGCUAACUACGUG